rnacentral:lncRNA from 1 species
UCUAUAUUUAAAAUUUAUUUGUGCUUAUCCAAUGCUCGACUUUUGCUGUUGUUAAUGACAUUAUCCAACCACCGUAUUCUUAAAUAAGAUUUAGUAGACAAAUGAUAUAAGUUUCUCUACUACCAAACUCAAUACCGAUUGGUCCAUAUUUUAGCUUUCUCUCCAAUCAAAAAGCACAAACUUUCCCUAGCAUCAAUUUAAUAAUCCAAAGGAGCCCUAUAUAACAAGUGAUGCAUUUUCUCGAGUUCGUACUUUUAUCUCAUUCUUUUCGCAAAGGUUGAAGUGAAUGUGAUGAAAUAAAUAGGAAGAGCUUAUGGUUCCUUAUUUUUACCUUGAUUUCCUAGUUAUGUCAGCUGUUGCUCUAUCCCUAAGGUAAGCUCUCUUCUCAGGUAAAUUGUCUCCUAAAUAUUGGUUAUAUAUAGGGUCAAAGUACAAUGCCUACUUCAGACCUCUGCUAAAAGAGCUUCAGAUCUGAUUCUACCACCCGGAGGUCGUAUAGAUUGAAAUCCGGAUAAAUGAGAACUGAAGCUUAUUUUAUCUAGGAAUUUACAUAUAAAUCAUGAAACGUGUACCGUCUAUGCCUUCACAAUCACAUGAUCACCUUACCCCCAAACUAGCAUUUUACUAUCAGUCUCUCUAUUUUUUACACUGGGUUAGAUCUUGUUCGGUACGAAUAACCAUUAUCAAACCGAAACAUGAGUAUACGAUUAGAUAAGAUUUGACAAGUGUAAAUACUAAAUGCAAUCGUAACACAAUGCAUUGGUUAAUCAAAAGCAAAUAAAUAAAAGGGUUAGAAAUUAGAUGAGUCAAGAAGUAAUAGAUGCACAAACAAAGUCAAGAAACCCAAGCUUAUGAAAGUUCAAUUUUCGAACAAAAAGAAAGAAAAAUUAUUGAGCAGAGCUCAACUUCCUUGAAGCAAGCCAACUCGCAUGGUAGAGUGGACCAGGCCGAGCCCCACGGUAGACACAUUGAGCAACUCUAAUCUAUCCAUUUUAACACCUCUAACCAUAUCACCACAUAUAUAUAAUUAAUAAAGUUGCACCUUUUUUUAGUUGAAACACAGACAACAUCUAUUGGGAUUCUUAGGCUUGUUGCUUGACUCGUCGGAUCUUCAGGUUUGGAUUUGUGAUAUCAUGUGGUUCAAAUUUCAAAUAAUUAAUUGGGACGACUGGUAGAGAGAAGAUGACCCCCCAUAUGUUGGCGACCCCAGCUAUGUCGGGUAGCGCCUAUGAUGAUAUGACGAUUACCGUAGUGAUAGUUCGAUUGACACUACAUUCGCUUGCUCGUAAGGUACAGAUAGCUUUGGCAUGUCAGGUGACGCUCAUCAUAUUAAAGCACUAAUUGCUAUGCUAGUCCAACCGCCGUCACGCGCAGAGCGACCACCGUCUACCAGAACAACAUUGGAAUCGGUAAACAACCAUCCGAACGGUUAUUAUUAAACCCACUACCCCUGGUAAUCGAAUGAAGAGCGGGCAAGUCUCAUGAGGGCACGUAGAUGACAACUGCCAGACGGUUACGUGAUGCUAGAUUGAUGCGGACACGUGGAUGGUAACUGCCCAGCGAUUAUGUGAUGCCAGAUGCCUAGAAAUAACCCAAGAGAAUGUUAGGUAAAGGGAUUCUUUCUUUUUCCAGAAAAAAUUCUUUCCUCUGUCACUAUUGCAAUUCUUUAAAAACAUUUAUCUAAAAAUGAUUACUGACUCUCACGCCAGAGGUAAAACGAGGAAGGGAGCCCUAGCCUCUUUUUGCAGGAUCACUGGAGGACAAGAGACCACUUUUUCACUGGAAAAAACACGGAGUUACACCAGAAAUAUUUCAAUUUGUGAUCUUGUUUUAUUGAUAAAUCAACUAACUCCGUCCUUGUCAUGAUACUAGCCCAGUUGAGAGUGAAAUCAAAAAGGGAAAUGUAAAAUAGAAAAGCAACCAAUUUCACAAGGUGUCUAAGAAGUCUUGCAUCUUUAUGCUUUUUAAAAAUCAAUUAUGGAAAUGUCAAUAAUAAAACCAGAACAGUAUGAAUUGAAAGAGAGAUGUAGCUGAAACCCUGUUUUAGAUGGUUUUACAGUUAGUGUAUUUGUUGCACAUGGUACUAAUCGAGUCUCUACCAUAUAUUGGACAAGAUUGUCAUCAUGUUCUCAAAUCCUCUUUGCCAAACAUGCCAUAAGUUUACGACAUAUGAAUACGUCCUAAGGGCAUCUACUUCUAAUGCAGAUAAUUGAAUAUGAUAGGGAGAAACCAACAGCAGAUUAUUAAACAUUCAUAAGAACACUACAGCUGAAAUUUCAAUACACAGUAAACUAACGGACCGACACCAACACCUUCCUCCAGCAGAGUACCGAAAGAAGGGAUGAAAUAUCAUGAUGUGAAGAAUGUCCACAACUUUCUACCAAUCAACAUUUCACCCGGAUGCUCAGAAUUGUCAUCUAUGUCGUCGUCUUCAUCAUCCACAAUCAACGUGCUGUCUUGUUCAUCCUCACUAUUGUAUUCUGGGGUAACUGUUAGAUUUUUUCAUCAUUUUGCAUGUGUUUAAUUUUUUGUUUUGCGAAUGAUUUGCUGCCCGGAUUAGUGUUUGCCGCUGCGCAACGGGGUUCGACCUGGGCGAAUUCUCAUUUGCAAAUACAUUAAACAAUUUAUUCUUCCUUCUUUCUCUUGGCAUCAAUCAGUUAUUUUCGAGUGUCUUCUUGGUUUGAUCAAAUAGUCACAAUUUGAAUCAAACGCUUCCAUUGUAUCCAGAGAGAGAUUU